UUGAAAGGGAAACGAUUGAAGUUAGUCGUACCGACGAGAAAUCAGCUUAUCGUGUGUUAACUUGUGGGCGUGCGUGAGUUUCGGCCUCGCUGUUUGCAUGUUUGUGCGCUUUGGGUGUACUUUUUCGUAUGGUUGGCCAACAUCAGUUUCGAUCACUAUAAAAUGACUGGCGGAAUGUAGCUUCGAUUUCGGUUGAAGUGUUAUAGCCUCUGGUAGAUGUGGUAAUUGGGACUGAGGAUUGCAACGAAUAUCCUUUGGGCUAUCCGUCUGGCCUCUGAAAGUUGCUUGGGUGCUGAAAGCUUGCUUAUGGUUAUCUAAGUUAACGGUCAAUAGGUUAGAACGCGAUUACAUUCGUUAAGGAUGUUGACGUA
rnacentral:rRNA from 1 species